rnacentral:rRNA from 1 species
UACGGAGGGGGCUAGCGUUGUUCGGAAUUACUGGGCGUAAAGGGUGCGUAGGCGGGUCUUUAAGUCAGGGGUGAAAUCCUGGAGCUCAACUCCAGAACUGCCUUUGAUACUGAGGAUCUUGAGUUCGGGAGAGGUGAGUGGAACUGCGAGUGUAGAGGUGAAAUUCGUAGAUAUUCGCAAGAACACCAGUGGCGAAGGCGGCUCACUGGCCCGAUACUGACGCUGAGGCACGAAAGCGUGGGGAGCAAACAGG